UCCUGGCUCAGAUUGAACGCUGGCGGCAGGCCUAACACAUGCAAGUCGAGCGCGAAAGGCCUUCGGGCUGAGUAGAGCGGCGGACGGGUGAGUAACGCGUAGGAAUCUACCUGGUAGUGGGGGACAACUUGGGGAAACUCAAGCUAAUACCGCAUACGCCCUAUGGGGGAAAGUGGGGGACCUUCGGGCCUCACGCUAUCAGAUGAGCCUGCGUAGGAUUAGCUAGUUGGUGAGGUAAAGGCUCACCAAGGCGACGAUCCUUAGCUGGUCUGAGAGGAUGAUCAGCCACACUGGGACUGAGACACGGCCCAGACUCCUACGGGAGGCAGCAGUGGGGAAUAUUGCGCAAUGGGGGGCAACCCUGACGCAGCCAUGCCGCGUGUGUGAAGAAGGCCUUCGGGUUGUAAAGCACUUUCACUUGGGAAGAAAAGCUCAUCGUUAAUAGCGGUGAGCCCUGACAUUACCUUGAGAAGAAGCACCGGCUAACUCCGUG
rnacentral:rRNA from 1 species